rnacentral:rRNA from 1 species
CAUUACCGAGAGACGAGGUCCUCGCGGCUUCACUCUUCCAACCGUGCACAAUGACCUUUGUUGCUUUGGCGGGCUCUCGGCUUGGCUCUUCGGGCUUGCGUCUCGGCCGGAGCUGAGCCUUCCCGCCCAAGGCCCUCCUGAAACGCUCGUAUUGGUGUCGUCCGAGUAUGUAUCGAAUUUUACAAAACUUUCAACAACGGAUCUCUUGGUUCUGGCAUCGAUGAAGAACGCAGCGAAAUGCGAUAAGUAAUGUGAAUUGCAGAAUUCAGUGAAUCAUCGAAUCUUUGAACGCACAUUGCGCCCUCUGGUAUUCCGGGGGGCAUGCCUGUUCGAGCGUCAUUGCAACCUCAAGCACCGCUUGGUAUUGGGUCUCGCCCCCGCGGGCGGGCUCGAAAUGCGGCGACGGUCCGCGUGGACUCUGGGCGUAGUAAGAUUUUUUCAAUCCCGCCUUGGGCGUCCUCGAGGGCUCGGUCGAAACCACAUCGUAUUUUUCCACGAUUGACCUCGGAUCAGGUAGGGAUACCCGCUGAACUUAAGC